UACGUAGGGGGCAAGCGUUAUCCGGAAUUACUGGGCGUAAAGCGCACGCAGGCGGUUCGCCAAGUUUGGAGUGACAGUUGUCGGCUCAACCGACAAAGGACUUCAAAAACUGGUGAACUUGAGGACGAGAGAGGAACAUGGAACUCCAGGUGUAGUAGUGAAAUGCGUAGAUAUUCGGAGGAACACCAGUGGCGAAGGCGGCUCACUGGCUCGGUACUGACGCUGAGGUGCGAAAGCGUGGGGAGCAAACAGG
rnacentral:rRNA from 1 species